UCAUCAGGGCUGUUUUAGAGAAAGCAUGGCCACAGGGAAGGUCUGGCUCCUUCUCCUUCUCCUUCUACUUAGUCCAGAAGAUGCUCUGCAAAGCCCACUUGGAAUAUUGUUGAGUUGAUCUGAACUGUUCUGGAGAAAGACACAGAGGGAUGAAGUGGUUUCUACGGCCACAUCACUUGGUGGCAGAACAAACUAAAAUAAGAACAGGUGGUGUGAAGAGCCUUCAAGGGCCAGAGAACAGUCAGUAAGGAGAAUACGGUUGGUAAAAUAUUGAAGAGCAUCUGAAAAGGCAGUUUGGCUGGGACAGAGUAAGAGACGAGGUAGCACAGUUUAAGCUGGAGCCAAGCUAUCCAGAGAACUUCUUUGAAUAUAGCUCUACCCUGGGCAUGAUGAACUCCAAUACGGAGUAAAUGUGCCUUUGCUGCCUGCCAGCUUCCACUUCCUCCCCACAAGACAAAUGCAUAUGAAGACAGUAUGCACUCGUCUGGCCUCAUUUAGGCAUUCAGGACACCUGGGUUUGCCCAGUAGCAGAAGACUUGACUUGAAUUAAGGUCAAGAUGGUGAGACACCAGACAAGCUUAUGGAAUGUUACUCAUAAAAGUGCCCAACCAUAUUCACAAUUAGAGGCAAAGAAGCCAACAUAACACAGAGACUGAGACUCUGAAGAAUGUGAUAUGGAGAUGGAAAAAUGGGGUAAGCCCUGGGCUGCAUGGUAGCAAUUUCUCUAGCAGACCCUAGCAGAAGAAUCCAUCUCACCCUUCUGAGAUUUAUGAAUCCAACUCCCAUCAGGCUAUCUCUGAGGACCUCCAUUUGAGAUUAUUGCACUAGAAUCAAAUGUGUGCAACAAGUUAGCUGGUUAGAAAGCCUGGUUAUGGUUUUAAUGACUGCUAUGCUGAGGUCCUGCCUUGUUAGUCUUUAUAUCAACACCAUGAGGUGAGCUGAUUUAAUACUAUAUAUUAUAGAUGAGAACAA